rnacentral:rRNA from 1 species
CUUGGUCAUUUAGAGGAAGUAAAAGUCGUAACAAGGUCUCCGUAGGUGAACCUGCGGAGGGAUCAUUACAAGAACGCCCGGGCUUCGGCCUGGUUAUUCAUAACCCUUUGUUGUCCGACUCUGUUGCCUCCGGGGCGACCCUGCCUUCGGGCGGGGGCUCCGGGUGGACACUUCAAACUCUUGCGUAACUUUGCAGUCUGAGUAAACUUAAUUAAUAAAUUAAAACUUUUAACAACGGAUCUCUUGGUUCUGGCAUCGAUGAAGAACGCAGCGAAAUGCGAUAAGUAAUGUGAAUUGCAGAAUUCAGUGAAUCAUCGAAUCUUUGAACGCACAUUGCGCCCCCUGGUAUUCCGGGGGGCAUGCCUGUUCGAGCGUCAUUUCACCACUCAAGCCUCGCUUGGUAUUGGGCAACGCGGUCCGCCGCGUGCCUCAAAUCGUCCGGCUGGGUCUUCUGUCCCCUAAGCGUUGUGGAAACUAUUCGCUAAAGGGUGUUCGGGAGGCUACGCCGUAAAACAACCCCAUUUCUAAGGUUGACCUCGGAUCAGGUAGGGAUACCCGCUGAACUUAAGCAUAUCAAUAAGCGGAGGAA